AGAGCUGUUGGUGACCCAGAGAGGAAAUAGAACUGUCGGUGGUCUAAUUUGUCUAAUGUCCUUCAUCAGAUAGCCUCGAGUCCAACCCAAGCACUUGGCAACAGUGGCGCUUUUAUGGCUUUCUGACUCGUUACGUAACCUCCAUCUCUGGGCACCGCUGUGGAGUCUUCCAGAAUCUCACAAUCCAGGAGGUUGAAGAGGCCUCCAGAAGCCCCGACGAGUCUGCUUAUGUCAUUAACAUUACCACGCACAAGACAAACAGAGCCUUUGGGGCGGCGCAGUUGUCCCUAAACAGGGAGGAAUACAGCUGGUUCCGCAGGUUCUUGGCGCUGCGGGCUGGUCUCCCUGGAGGGAGCCAGGCUACCUAUUUCUUUUUCACUUCCAGAGCCAGUCCUUGUCGGACCCUGUACAAGUACUUUCAGUCUGCUUGGAUCAGUAUGGGCCUUCCAGGCAAACCCACCUUUACUGACGUACGGACUGCGAUCGCGACCCAUGCAAAGAAUGCACACUCUUCAGAGGAUCGCCGCAAGGUGGCGCAAUUCAUGUGCCAUGACACUUCAACCUCAGAUAAGAGGAUGGGGAGGCAGCGGGCACUGAAAGCCCCCCGCGGAAAGGGCGCAAGAGGACAGAGAUUCCGUGUCUCCCCUGAUA